UACGUAGGGGGCAAGCGUUGUCCGGAUUUAUUGGGCGUAAAGCGCGCGCAGGCGGUCUGCCAAGUUCGGAGUGACAGUUUCCGGCUUAACCGGAAAAGGUCUUCGAAAACUGGUGGACUUGAGAACUUGAGGGGGAGACGGAAUUCCGGGUGGAGCGGUGAAAUGCGUAGAGAUCCGGAGGAACACCAGUGGCGAAGGCGGCUCCUGGUCUGCGACUGACGCUGUGGCGCGAAAGCUAGGGGAGCGAACGGG
rnacentral:rRNA from 1 species